GAUGAACGCUAGCUACAGGCUUAACACAUGCAAGUCGAGGGACCGGCGCAAGGGAGAGUAACACGUAUCCAACCUGCCCUUUACUCGGGGAUAGCCUUUCGAAAGAAAGAUUAAUACCCGAUAUAAAGGAUGGGGAUGCGUUCCAUUAGGUUGUUGGUGAGGUAACGGCUGACCAAGCCUGCGAUGGAUAGGGGUUCUGAGAGGAAGGUCCCCCACAUUGGAACAGAGACACGAUACAAACUCGUACGGGAGGCAGCAGUGAUGAAUAUGUGUAAAUGGGCGCUAGCCUGAAACAGCCAAGUAGCGUGAAGGAUGAAGGCUUAUGGGUCGUAAACUUCUUUUAUAUAAGAAUAUGUAUUAUAUGAAUAAGGAUAGGCUAACUCCGUGCCAGCGGCCGCGGUAAUUC
rnacentral:rRNA from 1 species